rnacentral:rRNA from 1 species
UUUAUGGAGAGUUUGAUCCUGGCUCAGGAUGAACGCUGGCGGCGUGCCUAAUACAUGCAAGUCGAGCGAACGGACGAGAAGCUUGCUUCUCUGAUGUUAGCGGCGGACGGGUGAGUAACACGUGGAUAACCUACCUAUAAGACUGGGAUAACUUCGGGAAACCGGAGCUAAUACCGGAUAAUAUUUUGAACCGCAUGGUUCAAAAGUGAAAGACGGUCUUGCUGUCACUUAUAGAUGGAUCCGCGCUGCAUUAGCUAGUUGGUAAGGUAACGGCUUACCAAGGCAACGAUGCAUAGCCGACCUGAGAGGGUGAUCGGCCACACUGGAACUGAGACACGGUCCAGACUCCUACGGGAGGCAGCAGUAGGGAAUCUUCCGCAAUGGGCGAAAGCCUGACGGAGCAACGCCGCGUGAGUGAUGAAGGUCUUCGGAUCGUAAAACUCUGUUAUUAGGGAAGAACAUAUGUGUAAGUAACUGUGCACAUCUUGACGGUACCUAAUCAGAAAGCCACGGCUAACUACGUGCCAGCAGCCGCGGUAAUACGUAGGUGGCAAGCGUUAUCCGGAAUUAUUGGGCGUAAAGCGCGCGUAGGCGGUUUUUUAAGUCUGAUGUGAAAGCCCACGGCUCAACCGUGGAGGGUCAUUGGAAACUGGAAAACUUGAGUGCAGAAGAGGAAAGUGGAAUUCCAUGUGU